AGCACAGCCGUCGACGCGUACGCUGUUCGGUCGCUUCAAGCUGGAUUAAUAUUUUUUCAAGUUGAGUGAGAGUGAUUCGAUUUAGUUUAGUUUUUGCAGUGAUACAGAAAAAACGGAUAAUUGCAAGUGCAUCUCGGAUAACGGCAACUGCCGGAGUGGGGUCGUCGUCCCGACGCGCUCGUCGGACCCAGUGGGUGGGUGGUGGUGUCGCAUGGGUUUAACAUUUUUCAUAAGCUUCACCUACAUUUCCUCGCGGGAAGUGCGGUUUGAUACCCAGGUGUGGGCCCGCGCACACGGCGAAUCCGCUCCCACAGCAUAGCCGUGAAGUGGUGGGUGGUUGAUCUUUCCCACAGCUGGACGGGCACCGUGUGGGACCGGUGAAAAAGUGCUUUUUGUCUGCGAAAUUGAAUGCGCCCAAGCUGAAGAAAGAAGAAUAAGAAACAAAGAGGAAGCAACACAGUCAGUAGUGCGGUGGUGGUUUGUUUUUGCUGCGCUCGCCGAGCUCGUGCUCCACUAGCUGGGCCGGGUAUUACGGCUGUUAUUUUGUUUCAGUUCUGAGGGGUGGAAAAGUGGUUACUAUUGCUUCUCGUCGCUUCAGUGUUCCGGAGUAAACUAUGCUUCGUUCCGGUGACAAGCGAUGCGAGAGACGGGACUGUGCUAUCCAGAUUAUCGUCUUGGGUUGCCAUUCAGUGUGUCGCCUCUAGGUGCCCAUCA